CAGCAGCCGCGGUAAUGCGUAGGUCCCGAGCGUUGUCCGGAUUUAUUGGGCGUAAAGCGAGCGCAGGCGGUUAGAUGAGUCUGGAGUUAAAGGCUGUGGCUUAACCAUAGUACGCUUUGGAAACUGUUUAACUUGAGUGCAAGAGGGGAGAGUGGAAUUCCAUGUGUAGCGGUGAAAUGCGUAGAUAUAUGGAGGAACGCCGGUGGCGAGAGCGGCUCUCUGGCUUGUAACUGACGCUGAGGCUCGAAAGCGUGGGGAGCAAACAGGAUUAGAUACCCGUGUAGUCCCUGUCUCUUAUACC
rnacentral:rRNA from 1 species